rnacentral:rRNA from 1 species
AGGAUUAACGCUGGCGGCGUGCCUGACACAUGCAAGUCGAACGAGGCCGCAAGGCCGAGUGGCGGACGGGUGAGUAACACGUGACCAACCAACCUCGAAGUUGGGAAUAGCUCUGCGAAAGUAGGGGUAAUACCGAAUGUGGCCCAGGGCGGGCAUCCGCCUUGGUCUAAAGAUUCAUCGCUUCGAGACGGGGUCGCGGCCUAUUAGCUUGUUGGUGAGGUAACGGCUCACCAAGGCGAUGAUGGGUAGCUGGUCUGAGAGGACGACCAGCCACACUGGGACUGAGACACGGCCCAGACUCCUACGGGAGGCAGCAGUGAGGAAUCUUCCGCAAUGGGCAAAGCCUGACGGAGCAACGCCGCGUGUGGGAUGAAGACUCUAGGGUUGUAAACCACUGUCGGAGGGGACGAUCGUGACGGUACCCUCCAAGAAACGCCCCGCUAACUACGCGCCAGCAGCCGC